UGGCAAACGGGUGAGUAACACGUAAACAACCUGCCUUCAGGAUGGGGACAACAGACGGAAACGACUGCUAAUACCGCAUAAGCCCACGGGUCGGCAUCGACCUGAGGGAAAAGGAGCAAUCCGCUUUGAGAUGGCCUCGCGUCCGAUUAGCUAGUUGGUGAGGUAACGGCCCACCAAGGCGACGAUCGGUAGCCGGACUGAGAGGUUGAACGGCCACAUUGGGACUGAGACACGGCCCAG
rnacentral:rRNA from 1 species